rnacentral:rRNA from 1 species
GAUGAACGCUGGCGGCGUGCCUAAUACAUGCAAGUCGAGCGAACAGACGAGGAGCUUGCUCCUCUGACGUUAGCGGCGGACGGGUGAGUAACACGUGGAUAACCUACCUAUAAGACUGGGAUAACUUCGGGAAACCUGAGCUAAUACCGGAUAAUAUAUUGAACCGCAUGGUUCAAUAGUGAAAGACGGUUUUGCUGUCACUUUAGAUGGAUCCGCGCCGCAUUAGCUAGUUGGUAAGGUAACGGCUUACCAAGGCAGCGAUGCGUAGCCGACCUGAGAGGGUGGUCGGCCACACUGGAACUGAGACGCGGUCCAGACUCCUACGGGAGGCAGCAGUAGGGAAUCUUCCGCAAUGGGCGAAAGCCUGACGGAGCAACGCCGCGUGAGUGAUGAAGGUCUUCGGAUCGUAAAACUCUGUUAUUAGGGAAGAACAAAUGUGUAAGUAACUAUGCACGUCUUGACGGUACCUAAUCAGAAAGCCACGGCUAACUACGUG